rnacentral:rRNA from 1 species
UACGUAGGGAGCAAGCGUUGUCCGGAAUUAUUGGGCGUAAAGGGCGCGUAGGCGGUGCGGUAAGUCUGCGGUGAAAUCUCCCGGCUCAACUGGGAGGCUGCCGUGGAAACUGCCGUGCUUGAGUGUGGGAGAGGUGAGUGGAAUUCCCGGUGUAGCGGUGAAAUGCGCAGAUAUCAGGAGGAACACCGAUGGCGAAGGCAGUGUUCUGGGCCAGUACUGACGCUGAGGAGCGAAAGCGUGGGUAGCAAACAGG